GGGGAAUAUUGGACAAUGGGCGCAAGCCUGAUCCAGCCACGCCGCGUGAGUGAUGAAGGCCUUCGGGUCGUAAAGCUCUGUGGGGCGAGACGAACCGCUGGGGGUGCAUAGCCUCUAGCAUGACGGUAUCGCCUUAGCAAGCACCGGCUAACUUCGUGCCAGCAGCCGCGGUAAUACGAAGGGUGCAAACGUUGCUCGGAAUCAUUGGGCGUAAAGCGCACGUAGGCGGUCCACCAAGUCGGAUGUGAAAUCCCUCAGCUCAACUGAGGACGUGCAUUCGAAACUGGCGGACUUGAGUACCAAAGAGGAUUGCGGAAUUCCCGGUGUAGAGGUGAAAUUCGUAGAUAUCGGGAGGAACACCAGUGGCGAAGGCGGCAAUCUGGGUGGAUACUGACGCUGAGGUGCGAAAGCGUGGGGAGCAAAC
rnacentral:rRNA from 1 species